rnacentral:lncRNA from 10 species
CUUGAAAAUCAUUUUUGGUGCCUUAAAAAUCCAAUGGACAAUUCACCAAACACUUUGAUUUCUUUAUUUUUAAUAAUUUUCCCCUCUACACCACCUUAACCAUCCACUCCCUUAGAAAUGCCACAAAAACUUGUCAUUACAAUCAUCUAAUCACCUAAAAAAUCUCAAUGUAUUCAAGUUCACUGUUUCUAAAACCUCUACUCCAACAAUUUUCAAAAACACUCACACUUCCAAUUCAUAGGCCUCCUUCUACUUUUUGACUGUUCAUCUCUGCCACUACACUUUCAAUUUUUUAACCACAGGAGAUUCUUUUAUCUAUUUUGUUAAUCAUUCCUUUAAAUAUACUCUCAAAUCUCAAGAUCCUCCAAACUUCUAUUAAACUUCCCUGACAUAAUUUCAACCCUGAUUAGAUGCAAUUUCCCACCCACUUUAGUCUACACUCAAGCAAGUGAAUAUAAUGAAAGACAAGCACAAACCCCAUGCUGAUCAAAUUCACAUUCUGUUUCUCACCAAAUGUUAAGAAAGCGUGGUGCUGUCCAGCAACAGACUUACAUUUCCCUAAACAUUUUCCUCUCCCUGCUACCCCGCUGAAAUAAUUAUCUCAUGCCUUCUCUCCUUUGCUCACAUCUCCAAUGACUGCUCCCCUCAUCUCUCUCUGCAUUGUUUCCUACUUUGCUGAGAAAUUAGGAGCAAUCAGAGCAGAAUCAUCUCUCAUUCUCACAUUUCCUCUCCAUUUGCACUCCUAUGUGCCACCUCUCCUCCCAUGCAGACAGAAAAACCCUAGCUCUGAGGCCAGCCCCAUUACCCAUGGGAAUGGCUCUAACCCCUCCUGCCUUUUCAAGGACCCUCUGCUCUUGCAUCUUCUCCUUAUUUACUUGAAAUAAGUUCUUCAGUCUCCACUGGAGACUUUAACAUAAAAUAUGCAGUAGUUCUCCCAUGCAGUAGUUCUCUCAAACUUUUCCUAGAUUUCCAUAUCUCCUCCUGGCCACCACACUUUCUUUAUACUCAUAUUUACAACAAAACUUCUCAAAGGAGUUGUCCGUUUUUCUACAUACCCAUUGUCUGCUCUCAGUCUCUGUUAAAUUCACUCCAGUAAGGAAUUCCCACCAGAUCACUGAAAUCACCCCUUGCCAGUGGCCCAUGACUCCUGGGUGGUGAGUUGUUAGGUCUCACCUUACAUAAGCUGUACCGUGAGACCUGGAGCAAAUGGACCAUGCUUUUCUCCUGGACAUAUUUUCGCUCUUGGCUUCUGAAGUAGAGCUCCUUAGCGGCUUCUUUUGCUGCGUACACAUUUCCUCAUCUGACAUCUGAAUGUUGGAGGGCCCCAGGGCUCAGCCCUUUGUCUUCUUCUCUUUUCCUUGACAUACAUUCCCUGGGUGAUCUUAUCCAGUCUCAUGCCUUUAAAAACCAACAAUGCCCUAAUGACUCCCAAAUUUUAUCACCACCCUACCUCUCCUCAUUUUGCCAAGUGACCACUCAACAGCUCCAUCUAGAUGGUUUCUUGGUUUAUCCACACCCCAUUUCUUUAUAUCUUGGUUAAUGGCAUCAUUUUCACUUGGCUAUCCAGGCUCACACUCAUCCAAUCCAACAGCAAGUCUUAGUAGCUCCACUUUCAAAAUAUGUCUCAAACCCAACUACCAUUCACCAACUUUACUGUUCUCACCCUAACCAGCCUACAUUUUGUCUCACUUGGGCUUGGAAAUAGUCUCCAAAGGGCACUUCUUACACCAUAUUUUUUUUUUUUUUUUUUUGAGAUGGAGUCUUGCUCUGUCACCCAGGCUGGAAUGCAGUGAUGUGAUCUUGGCUCACUGCAAGCUCCGCCUCCCGGGUUCACGCCAUUCUCCCGCCUCAGCCUCCCGAGUAGCUGGGACUACAGGCGCCUGCCACCAUGCCCGGCUAAUUUUUUGUAUUUUUUAGUAGAGACGGAGUUUUACCAUGUUAGCCAGGAUGGUCUCGAUCUCCUGACCUCGUGAUCCACCCACCUCGGCCUCCCAAAGUGCUGGGAUUACAGGCGUGAGCCACCACGCCUGGCCCUCCUUACACCUUUUGAUUCACUCUAUAUUCUUGAAAGAGUGGCCUUUCAAAAGAGCAAAUAUGAUUAUCCACUUCCUCCCCCCAAAACCUUGCAAUUAUUUCCCAUUAUAGUGAAACAAAAAUCAUCAGCCUUCUCACUGCGAUCCACUCAGCCCGAUGUGACUUACCCCUGCUAAUCUUUCCAGCCCCAUCUCCUGUUCUUCUUCCCAUCACUUAUACUGCACCCAUUACCUUGGUCUUUUUGCUAUUCCUCCAAUGUCUAAGAAUGUUCCUACCACAUCACCUUUACAAUUGCUGUACUUCCUGUGGGUCUUCACUUAGCUUAUUUAUACACUUUUGUCAGGUCUUUUGCUCAAAUUUGACCUGUUCCCCCUGCCACACUCCUCAUUACCUUCUAAUCAUUAUAAUUUAUUUUUUUCAGUAGUGUAUGUUAUCAUGUGUCUUAAAAUGUUUUACAUCUAUUAUUAGUCAUUUGUGGAUUUGCUCCUCACUAGAACAUGAGUUUCAUGACAACAGGAACUAGCUUUUCCCUUAUUUACUGUCUUAUUCCUGCUCCAGGCUAGAUAUAGCAAUGAAGCACAAUCCUUUGGCCAGGAUUCUUGGGUUCUUUUUUAAUCUCUCUGAGGUUUCUAUCAGAGCUUUUGCUUUUCACCACCCCUGCUUUCAAUAAAAUCUGGAGGAUGACUGAGUCUGUGAUCCCUUUUCAGGGACCCAGUUUCCAUCCUUACCCUGAUAACCCUCCAAAUAUCCCCCAUGCAAUUGUACCCUUUGUGUCCCCUCUUCCUGUGUGGUGGAAAUGUUCCUCAUGCCACAUUCUCCAUUCUUGGCUUGUAAUAAAACUCGCCUCUGAACACAUAAACCAUAGCUUUUAAAUGAACACAAUUCUUGAUUUCAAGACAGGUUUGCUUUCAAGUUCAUAUUUCUGUUUGUAAAUGUCCUUUUCUAAACAAACCAAAACAUAUUAGUGGUGAAGCUAAUUGCAUUCCAUUUAAAACACAAUUGUGAUCAGGUUUUCAUUGUGUGAUUUUUCAACAGUGUAUAUCAUAUCCAGUUAGGGAUUUACAGUUGUCAAAUUCAUUAGAGUAGGAAACAUCAAGCACAUUCAAGGAGAAAAGUGACUCAGACCAGAGAAAGUUAUCAUAGAUUUUAAUAUGCAUUAUGAUUGCCUGUUAAUUUGGAUAAAUUAUUUGCAGUUCUUUCUGUACAUCUUUGCCUAUCUUAAGCAAGUUUUAUUUCAGUCUCUGUCUUUGAGCUAAAUCAUAUACAUCCCAUUUAAACAAUAAAAUUUAACUACACAGGAAGAUGAGGUAGAUGUACUUUUCCCUCAUGCUCCUACUAAGUGCAAAUAAAUAACCUGGGUAUUUUAAUCAACUUAAGAAGACUCUGAAAGGUGGAGAAAAGACAGCAGACCAGCUAAGGACAUUGGGACCUGAGGAACGACUUGGAGGAGACCACAGACUCAGCGGCUGCACUGGCCACUCUCCAGCAGGCCCAGGACAAUGGCGGGGCAGCCUCUUCACUGGACAAGGUGCCUCUUCAUUGGACUUGUCCUCAGGCAUGAGCUGAGAAAGACCCCAGGAGUCCUCCUCAGGAGAGGCCCCCAGGCAGGCUGGUAGACCAGGACCCCAUUGACAUCUCUGGCUGGGAGAAAGAAGUCAGCCCUGGCUUCUCUCCAUGAAGGGCCAUCCCUUUUUAAAAUGUCAGCACGAGCCCUUGGACCCAUCUCCUUGGGCCAGGACAGUAUCCCCAGCAUGCUCCUCAAGCUGUCUGCAAAGACCAGCUCAAGGUCCGGAAGACGGGGGCUGGAACUGGCCAGCGAGGUGCCUCCCACUCUCCUUUCCAGGGCCUUCUGAAAAAUAAACUACCUGUUAAAGACUGAGUUGUAUCCACCCCUCCAGAUUCCUGUAUUGAAGCCCUAAUCCCCAGUGGGAUGGUAUUUGGAGACAAAGAUUUUGGGAGGCAAUGGGGUUAGAGGAAGUUGUAAGGGUGGAGCUGAUAUGAUCUGAUUAGUGCCCUUAUGAAAAGAGACAGGAAAGACUUGCUCCUUCUUUCUCUGUCAUGUGAGCACACAGCAAGAAGGAAGCUAUCUAUAAGCGAGAGAAGACUCUCACCAGAAACUAACGUCAGAUUCUAGCUUCCAGAGUUGUGAAAAAAAAAAAAAAAUUUGUGUGUGGUGUAACCCACCCAGUCUAAGAUAUUUUCUUUCAGUAGCCCAAGCUAAGGCACUACUAUAAGGUGGGACCCAAAGUCCAAUCAUGCCAAUGAGGAGGCUGAGGGGCCGAGACCAGAAUCUGGCUGUGAUUAAGUGGAGGCCCGAUCAAUUGCACUAUUCUUGUUUGGGAAGAAACAGUCAAGAGAAGGAGAUGCAGAGAAUCAAGAAUGUCUCAGAAGCAAGCCCCUCAACAAAGCUGACACCUCCCUAAAUAGCUUGCCUAUCUGCCGCCAAGAUCACUGCAGGACCUCCAUGUAGCACAACUGAGAAAAACUGCUGAUGUCUCCCUGAAUCCCUGUGCUCUAAUGUGCUGAUGUUGGAUUUUCCACGUGGCAUCUGUAGAUGUGGCCAUUCAGUCCAUUUGACAACUUGCAAUUCUCACUGGAAAGGAAGGGAAGGUUUCCGGUUUUGCCUUGUCAGCCUCUGAAAGCCAUGUUAGUGUGAGUCCACUGUUGGAGAUGGAGCCAGGCAGACCGUCGGUGCUGUACCACCAAGUCUAAGGUUGGGACCCUGCACUGGGCUCCUCCCAAGGAUCCUCAGCCUCAGCACCCUCAGACCUUCCUGAUGGCCCCUAGUCUAUUCCUUUCUCUGUCUUCAUCAAAUGGCAGCAGACUCUUUCCUUAAUAAAACUAGAGCCUUUCUUGAACUCAAAAUAAAUAAAUGAAUGAAUUAAAGAACAAAGCAAAAUUUAAAACUA